rnacentral:rRNA from 1 species
UACGUAGGGGGCAAGCGUUGUCUGGAUUUAUUGGGCGUAAAGAGCGUGUAGGCGGCCUGAAAGGUCAGCUGUGAAAACUCGGGGCUCAACCCCGAGACGUCGGUUGAAACCAUCUGGCUAGAGUCCGGAAGAGGAGUGUGGAAUUCCCGGUGUAGCGGUGAAAUGCGCAGAUAUCGGGAAGAACACCCGUGGCGAAGGCGGCACUCUGGGACGGUACUGACGCUGAGACGCGAAAGCGUGGGGAGCGAACAGG